CCUACGGGAGGCAGCAGUGAGGAAUAUUGGUCAAUGGCCGCAGGGCUGAACCAGCCAAGUCGCGUGAGGGAUGACGGUCCUAUGGAUUGUAAACCUCUUUUGUCAGGGAGCAAAGGGCGCCACGUGUGGCGCUUUGCGCGUACCUUAAGAACAAGCAUCGGCUAACUCCGUGCCAGCAGCCGCGGUAAUACGGAGGAUGCGAGCGUUAUCCGGAUUUAUUGGGUUUAAAGGGUGCGCAGGCGGAAUGUCAAGUCAGCGGUAAAAUUUCGGGGCUCAACCCCGGCGUGCUGUUGAAACUGGCGUUCUUGAGUGAGCGAGAAGUAGGCGGAAUGCGUGGUGUAGCGGUGAAAUGCAUAGAUAUCACGCAGAACUCCGAUUGCGAAGGCAGCAUACCGGCGCUCAACUGACGCUCAUGCACGAAAGCGUGGGUAUCGAACAGGAUUAGAUACCCGAGUAGUC
rnacentral:rRNA from 1 species